GUCAAAAGCCAAAUAAAGCUGUAUUUUAUACUGUACAAAAGAAAAUUUACAUCCUUAAUGUAACUAGAUACAUCUAGGGAAAAAUUACACAUUUCUCAAGAAACACAAUAUUUAACAUCUUAGAUAUGUUUCUGCAUUGCAGACUGAUAAUGAAUUUUAUACAUCAUGAUCUUAAAUGUGCAUUUCUUCUUCAGCUCUGAAAAAAAUGUUUUCACUAGUCCUAGUUUGAAAGGACAUCAGUCAAUAGAGAUCAUAUUUUCUUCCUGACUAUCAUAUUUAAAUUUUAACCAGCACUAUUCUCUGAAUACUUGGC
rnacentral:lncRNA from 1 species